rnacentral:rRNA from 1 species
CCUACGGGAGGCAGCAGUGAGGAAUAUUGGUCAAUGGGCGCUAACCUGAACCAGCCACGUAGCGUGAAGGAUGACUGCCCUCUGGGUUGUAAACUUCUUUUAUAUGGGAAUAAAGUGCAGUAUGUAUACUGCUUUGCAUGUACCUUAUGAAUAAGGAUCGGCUAACUCCGUGCCACCAGCCGCGGUAAUACUGAGGAUCCGAGCGUUAUCCGGAUUUAUUGGGUUUAAAGGGAGCGUAGGCGGGUUGUUAAGUCAGUUGUGAAAGUUUGCGGCUCAACCGUAAAAUUGCAGUUGAUACUGGCAUCCUAGAGUACAGUAGAGGUAGGCGGAAUUCGUGGUGUAGCGGUGAAAUGCGUAGAUAUCACGAAGAACUCCGAUGGCGAAGGCAGCCUGCUGGACUGUAACUGACGCUGAUGCUCGAAAGUGUGGGGAUCAAACAGGAUUAGAUACCCCUGUAGUC